AUUGAACGCUGGCGGCAGGCCUAACACAUGCAAGUCGAGCGGAUGAAGGGAACUUGCUCCUGGAUUCAGCGGCGGACGGGUGAGUAAUGCCUAGGAAUCUGCCUGGUAGUGGGGGAUAACGUCCGGAAACGGGCGCUAAUACCGCAUACGUCCUGAGGGAGAAAGUGGGGGAUCUUCGGACCUCACGCUAUCAGAUGAGCCUAGGUCGGAUUAGCUAGUUGGUGGGGUAAAGGCCUACCAAGGCGACGAUCCGUAACUGGUCUGAGAGGAUGAUCAGUCACACUGGAACUGAGACACGGUCCAGACUCCUACGGGAGGCAGCAGUGGGGAAUAUUGGACAAUGGGCGAAAGCCUGAUCCAGCCAUGCCGCGUGUGUGAAGAAGGUCUUCGGAUUGUAAAGCACUUUAAGUUGGGAGGAAGGGCAGUAAGUUAAUACCUUGCUGUUUUGACGUUACCAACAGAAUAAGCACCGGCUAACUUCGUG
rnacentral:rRNA from 1 species